ACAUCACCUCGUCUCCUCUCCAGCCAGGCAGACCCUGCCAGGAGGGCGUGGGCAAAGCGUGCGACCCGAGGAGCGCGGCAUUCUUAGGAGAAUGCUGAGCAAAGGACCACAGCCUGGUGACCAUAGGACAUUCCCAGCAGAUGAGGCAGCCUCCAUUAAAAAGCGACAUGGAUUCUCAUCCCCAGAUGUCUGAAAGAUAAGUCGAGGGCUAAGGCCCACAGAGGGGAUGAAAGCAACGUGCUGGGAGGGCCUUUUGAAACAGCUUCGGGGUCAGGGAUGUUUGAGAAGUGUCCCCUUAGGCCCUCUAAAGGGAAAGUGUCUGUUUUGAUCACAGUGCUGAGGUGCACUGGGCAGAGCAGUUCUGGUGUGUGUCCUGUCACUUGUCUCUGGUGCACUCUGUGUUGUUUGGGUCUCUCGGUCCUUUCUUCUCAUCAAAAGCUCUCUCUCCCUCUCCUGUCCCCUCAUUUGUCAGGUCCUGUCCCGUGUCACGGGUGUCCUGUCCUGUCUCCCGGAGCUGCUCUGCCCUGCUGCCUAGCCUGUAAUAGCACAAGUCCUGGGGACUGGAAAUUGGUAAUGCAGGGUGUAUUUGAGCUCUAGAUUGUAUUAGGAGAUUGAUGUAAGAUGUCUGGUGCUGUUAAGUUGUCUUGCAGCCUUUUAACACUAGUCCUAACAUCCUUUCAGAUGCAGACAGUUCAAAUCAGUGGCAGAGAGCCCCAAACCUGGGUGAGGAACUUCCAUGAACCGGUCAGUCAUUGUUUGCAUUUGCAGGGGAAGCCUAAAUGGUGACUGUGUGACAGCAGUGUUCUUUGCCUCUGUUUUUAUGAGGUCCAGGCAGAUAGCAGCAGUCAAGGCCCAGUGUGCCAGGUGAGCAGUGGACAGAAGCAGUUGUUUUUGCUCAGGUCUCAAUGUUUGGUGCAACUCUAAGCAUCCAUUCUUGUUUUUGUGCUUUAGGGAAUCCUCUCAGGGUGCACAUACCUCUGUCACCAACUGGCUGAAGGACCAGGUUUCAUGCUCUUGUGAUCUCGCUGGAAGCAUUGCAGGACCCUGUGAUGGACCUCCCAGUUUUGCUUUUCAAGGUCCCAUCCUGGUAGCUCAGAGGAAUGGCCGAGGAGUUGCGGUGUACCCUGCAAUGACGGCGUCAGAAUCCAAGCAUGCCCGACGCGUGCAGGCCAAGAACCCGGGCAUUCUGAGGAGAAUAACCAAGAGGUGACAGCCAUAACUUACCAGACAGGGAGAUGCCCUUCUUCUGCAGCCAACGGGGAUUUGCAUCCCCAGAUGAGUGCAAGAUAAGUGGAAGAUGCAGACAGUUCAAAUCAGUGGCAGAAGGCCCCAGUCCUGGCUGAGGGUGUUGCCAUGAGCAGGAGGUCCAGGCAGAUAGCAGCAAUCAAGGCCCAGUGUGCCAGGGAAGCCACUUGGAGUAUGCCAAGCCCCUCUCACCAGCUGGCCGAUGGACUUCCUGUGCUUGUGAGUCCUCUGGAAGUAUUUCAGGAGUCUUGAGAUGAAGCCUUGAAAUUUUGUAUUUCAAGAUGGCAUCUGGGUAGCCUUUGGCAAUGGCCAAGGAGCUGUGGUGAGACGCCGAGGUAGAGAGGGGGAGCCAAGGUCCACUUUGGUUUCAGCAGUGCUGAGUCA